AGAGUUUGAUCCUGGCUCAGAUUGAACGCUGGCGGUAUGCUUUACACAUGCAAGUCGAACGGGCUUGGGGGCUUGCUCCUAAGUUAGUGGCGAACGGGUGAGUAAUAUAUCGGAACAUGUCCGGAAGUGGGGGAUAACGUAGCGAAAGUUACGCUAAUACCGCAUAUGCCCUGAGGGGGAAAGGGGGGGAUCGCAAGACCUCUCGCUUUCGGAGUGGCCGAUACCGGAUUAGCUAGUAGGUGAGGUAAAGGCUCACCUAGGCGACGAUCCGUAGCUGGUCUGAGAGGACGACCAGCCACACUGGAACUGAGACACGGUCCAGACUCCUACGGGAGGCAGCAGUGGGGAAUUUUGGACAAUGGGCGAAAGCCUGAUCCAGCCAUACCGCGUGAGUGAAGAAGGCCUUCGGGUUGUAAAGCUCUUUCAGCCGGAAAGAAAUCGCGCUGGUUAAUAUCCAGCGUGGAUGACGGUACCGGAAGAAGAAGCAC
rnacentral:rRNA from 1 species